ACGGGGCCCGCACAAGCGGUGGAGCAUGUGGUUUAAUUCGAUGCAACGCGAAGAACCUUUACCUACUCUUGACAUCCAGAGAAUUCGCUAGAGAUAGCUUAGUGCCUUCGGUACAUCGGUGACAGGUGGUGCAUGGUUGUCGUCAGCUCGUGUCGUGAGAUGUUGGGUUAAGUCCCGCAACGAGCGCAACCCCUAUUGUUAGUUGCCAUCAUUCAGUUGGGCACUCUAGCGAGACUGCCGGUAAUAAACCGGAGGAAGGUGGGGAUGACGUCAAAUCAUCAUGCCCCUUAUGACCUGGGCUACACACGUGCUACAAUGGUUGGUACAACGAGUUGCGAGUCGGUGACGGCGAGCUAAUCUCUUAAAGCCAAUCUCAGUUCGGAUUGUAGGCUGCAACUCGCCUACAUGAAGUCGGAAUCGCUAGUAAUCGCGGAUCAGCACGCCGCGGUGAAUACGUUCCCGGGCCUU
rnacentral:rRNA from 1 species